CAAAAAUGCUGUAUCUGGUCUAAAUAGAUCAUGAGGCAGAAUCUGAUUAGUUCUCCACAGUAUCCCUCUUCGCUUCAUCUUCGGCUUGCUCCUAAAGUGCACUUCGCAUUUCACGUAAGGACGUGCGAGGAGCACCCCGUAGAAUGUGGGCAGAGGGGAUGUGCAUCACUUCCAGAAAUGGCCCUAAAACCUGCCCUGUUACCCACGUUUGCUCCUUGCCUUCCCGCUGGCUACCUGUGUAGCCCAAGUGGAGGUCUGUGAGGCACCAAAGACGGUGGAGCCACGUGAUGCAGACGACUGGACUCCUGCACGACUCUGUGGAGCAUGGUGCUCCCCGUACUGGCACGAGAAAGAAAGCUCCAUCAUUAUGGACCUGGGCCAUCUUUGGUCUCAACUGUUUCAAUUGUUUUUGAAGUGCUUACUAAGCUCUGUCACCCGUACAGAUACCAGAGGACUGUUGUUAAAACUUCAAACAAAUCAUGUCAGUGGCUCACCGAUGGGCCACAUAACCUGCAGGAUCUAGCCCUUCCCUUCCAGUAUCAGCUCAACUCAUUCUCCUUCGCUCCCUGCAGUGCACUACAGCUUCAUUGACCUUUCAGUUCUUGGACAACAUCUGGGCCUUGGCUCCACUUAAGGCCUUCAGAUUUGUUUUGUUGUAGACCUGUCAGUCUGCUGCCCAUGAUCCUCAUGACUAAGAUCUGAGUUUUAGGGUCACAACCAAAUGGCCACCUCCUCAGAGAGGUCUUCCUCUCUGUUUUCUUCAACUGCCUUCUUCUCUGUCACACUGAUGCCCCUAUUUCUCUGAGUGUAUUUUCUCUCUGAAGAUGUGGACUUACUGGGAAUUUACAUACAUGGAAGUUGCAACUUUCAGUAAAAAAAAAAACAAGGAAACAUUCAUGAAAACAGUAUCAUGGUCAUUUCCAGGAAAUUUCACAAUGUGUUAUUUUUUGUUUUUAUGCCACUUCUCUUACCUAAAUGUGGUAAAGCUCUACUGGGAGUAUGGACAAUGUCUUGUCACUGCUUGAGAAAAAAAGACAUACAAAAAACCAAGUAUCUCUGUUUUCUUUGUGUGAAAAAUUCUAAACCAUAUUCUUAGACAGCCUUUGUGGCAUCUACUUUGUCCCAGCGGUUCCUUUUCCCAGGUAAUCCAUGUACAUGCUGAAUGAACCACCAUGCCUGAGUGUAGACCAGAUGGCCUUGUUUGAACCAUCCUCACAGUCCAUCCUCACUGUCU
rnacentral:lncRNA from 1 species